rnacentral:rRNA from 1 species
UACAGAGGUCUCAAGCGUUGUUCGGAUUCAUUGGGCGUAAAGGGUGCGUAGGCGGCGCGGUAAGUCGGGUGUGAAAUCUCGGAGCUUAACUCCGAAACUGCAUUCGAUACUGCCGUGCUUGAGGACUGGAGAGGAGCGUGGAAUUCCUGGUGUAGCGGUGAAAUGCGCAGAUAUCAGGAGGAACACCAGCAGCGAAGGCGGCGCUCUGGGCUGGAACUGACGCUGAGGAGCGAAAGCGUGGGUAGCAAACAGG